rnacentral:rRNA from 1 species
UACGUAGGGUGCAGGCGUUAAUCGGAAUUACUGGGCGUAAAGCGUGCGCAGGCGGUUUCUUAAGUCAGAUGUGAAAGCCCCGGGCUUAACCUGGGAACUGCGUUUGAAACUGGGAGACUUGAGUGUGGCAGAGGGGGGUGGAAUUCCACGUGUAGCAGUGAAAUGCGUAGAUAUGCGGAGGAACACCGAUGGCGAAGGCAAUCCCCUGGGCCUGUACUGACGCUCAUGCACGAAAGCGUGGGGAGCAAACAGG